ensembl:ncRNA F41E7.19 ncRNA
GAUAGCCACGGAUAGGAAGAUUAUCAGGAAACAAGUUUUGAGUGCAUGCAAAAGAAGUGGAUUGAACAAAUCUGUGUCACUGUUUUCUUUGCAAGGUACU